CGCCGGCCCCCUCCCCGCCUGUGAGUCCCGGCCGGAGCGCUCCGGCGAGCACCGAGCAGCUCCUCUAUAGACCGCACCUUCUCCCGCUUCGUCUUUUACCACCCAUUUACUACUACUUAAAGGCGAUCCCCUCGGUCGCCAAAGCCGAGGUUUGACCUCCUACAAUCCAUUUAGCCGUGAACAAACAAACAAACAAACAAAAAGUUCCCAUCGGUUGUCAAAAGCGGGGAGAUGAAGAUAUCUGCCGGCGGUUAGGCUUCGCGGGGAAGUGGCACUUUCUCGCAGGUGGGAGCCCUACCCAGAGGGGCUGAACCCGCUGCGGGUACCCCCGCCCCGGAGGUCGCCCAGGUUAUCAGCCCAUCGGCCAGCAAUUUCCCGCUUUGAGGCAAGCAGCCGGUAUUUUCAACUGCGUAAAAUCCUCUCCUUCGCUCGGGGAAGCGGUUUCCUAGUUCGCUCCUUCACACGUAGCGUUAAUUGCGUUUGACUUCUAAGAGGCGAGGACUAAUCCCCUGGCUCUCCCCGCACAGGUCGGAUGCCGGCGUGAUCGACUUCCCCUCGCAUCGUGGGUGCCGGCGGGACAGCGCCCGGACUAAUUCGGUUCGGGGGAAGGCGAGAGCGCGGUUUAUACGUCCCCAGCCGCCGCCAUGAGCAGGGGAAAUGCUGGCCUCGGCGGUGAAAGAUUAUUUCACAUGAGCAGCACUCUUCAAGAAAGCUGUUGCCAGAUAAGGUGGCGACUGUACUUUGAAGAGGAACAAUGAGAAGUGACAGACAAGACCGUGUUUACCAAACUGAAUAGAGGACUUGCAGGUUUCCACUCACCGCUCGGUUACCUAAGCCCAGGGAAUCAAGGCUGGAGUGCUGUUUCACCAACCCGGAUCAGUAACAAAGUGGUCGGGGUGUGAAUGCAGCAUGACUCGAAUGUGAAAUCCUUCUACUUCAACGGGGCCAGAAAUGUAGAAAUAGGAAGAGGAUGUUCUUGUUCUGCAGCUUAGAGAAGAUCUAAAUUUGGCAGCCGCGCUGCACACAGAAUGGCAUGGGACUCGUGUGUGUGCAGCGCUCCGAACCACAGUCCCGAAAGAAGCUAACUCCCGGAGCGUCGCACCAACCCCCCUCAUCCGGAAAAGGCUACUGGAAAUAGGAAUCUUUUCCCAUUUUUCUCUCUAACGCUGCAGAGCUGGCAGAGUUGGUACCUCGAGCGUAGGGUAGGACAAGCCGCCCUCACCGCAUUGCUUGUCACCUUUGUUUGAUAAAGUGCUCAAUUUUUAUUACUUUUGUGCUGUGCAAACACACGCGAUGCUACAGUCCCGAACCCAAAUAUUUAUAGAGCGGAGGUCCAGAAAAAUCCUGCUGUCUGCUUACAGCAUCAGCAGUUACGUUGUAGAUGUGAACAGUGUGGAUCAGCGCUGCCAGGUGAGCGUCUGAACAAGUUCAGCAGGAAAGAAGAAUACGAACAGAACAUGCAUGCUUUAUAUAUAUAUAAUGGGAUUGUUUCUUCAUUCUGUCACAGCUAUAUCAAGCCAUUGAAGUGGAUUUAUGUUAGAGAACAACAUUUUAACAGAAUUUGUGACGCGCACGAACGCACAUACACACACAAACAUGCAAACUGUAUUUACACAUGUAAAUGUAUAUAUGGAAUGUAAAUACUAUAUAAAAAGGGCUAUGAGAUGCAAUAUUUAUUUUGACAUACAUUAUUUAUGGGAAAUUGGGAGUGUAAGUUUUCAGCCUGUGCAUAAUCAGCUGCUAUUUAUCUAUUAAAAUUUUUUAUAAUGCAUAUGAUUUUUAUUUUUCUCAUCUGCAGUUAUUUUUACACGUGAGCUCUUUACACCUUCAGGUUCUAGCAACAAUAUUAAUUGGGUGAGGGUACAUAACAAAUUUCUAAUUUAUAUUACACAGAAGUUCAUAUGCAUGAACGUACUUUACUAGAUCUUAUAAGCAUCUUUUUUCCAUUCAAAUCCAAAUCCAUCAAACACAAACCUUACGGAACACAGGUGCAGAAAGUAUUUGCUUCAAAUCACACGUUUUUGUUAACUGACAGAAAAAUAUUUGCUAAUAUGUGGGGGGAGAAUCCUUUGUGUUAAUUUUGACAUACAUGUAGUGACUGCAGAGUAUAUUUUCUCUUAAUGACAGGCAGUAGGUUAGAUUAAUCUAGAAGUGCUACGGACCUUCGUUUUGUAUGUUAUCCAGAAGAUCUUUCGAGAGGCCCUGGGAAAUGUACCUUAUCAGUUAUACCAAGUAGUGAUAUAUUAAUAGUGCCCAGAAGGGCGUGCGCGCGCGCGCACACACACACACACACACACGUGCAACAUUUGGCAAAAUCCCUUUGUCUCCUGAUGGCCCACAAAAGUGGAAGGCUGAGAUUCUUUGUUGUAUCUACCUGUGCCACCGAGAACAUGUGGAUCAGGGACUAGCUCACCAAGCUUUACCCCACUGAAUAAUUUCUUCUGUGCUUGGGGAAUUUCUUUACUAUCUCAGAUUUAUUUUGCUCUGUUCAGGAUAUCUGGCUCCAUUUUUUUCUUUCUACAAGCUUCAGGAAACUGAAUUCUGAAGGGGCAUUUCUUGGUUUUGAUUUACACCAUUACUUUCAUAUGUGGUGAAAUUAGUUUGCCUUGUUGUUGUUGUUGUUCGGCAGUCCUGGAAAAGUCAACGUAGUCCUUGAUCAUGUAGAGAUAAAGAAGUGUGGUUUGAAAGACAAGGGCACUGGCAGAAGAAUUCUUGCUGAGGCACUUAAACCAGUAACAUCCCUUCCAACCCUGCCCUUUUCCUCUGCUAGGAGUUAGCACGUAUGGGGCAGGGAUGGCUGAAGUGAACACGUGUCGGCUUCUCACCUUUAGCAGUUUCAGGACUGAUGUUUUAACGUAAACUCUAACAGAUGGAUGUUCAUCCCGCUAUGUCAAACUGAAGUUGAGUUGCUUUCAGUGUCUGCUCAGUAGAUGGAAACCACAAGCAGAGGUACGGGCAAAUUUCUGGCACCAUAGCUAAAUACCAGACAAGUUGUCCAUCAGAGCCCUAAGGUUUCCUGAAAUGCAAUCCUUGCUCUAAGACUGUCCUCUCUUCAGCAAGAAACACUGCUUACAUCUCUCUGUUUAGUUUCCUCACUAUAAACUGUGAUGAUAAAGAGUAUUCAUUUAGUUCUGUAAGGGGUGAUAAACAAACAUGGGCAAAAAUCCAAUUGCAACUUCAUUUCACCAAAAAUGCAGAUUUAAGUCAGCUGACAUUCUUUACAAUAUUACAGCUUUUUUUCAGCAAAUCUUCUUCAAUUAAAAAAAACAAACACAUUUGUUAAAAUGACUGUUUCAUUUAGCAUUUUCUAAAAAGAUGUUUUCAAAUCUGUACUUUAAUUAUAUUCUUAAUGUAAAUAAACCCUGAAAAU